AGAAUCAACGCUGGCGGCGUGCCUAACACAUGCAAGUCGAACGCGGUUACCCCGCAAGGGGUAACUGAGUGGCGAACGGGUGAGUAACACGUGGGUGACCUACCUUCGAAUGGGGGAUAACGUCCCGAAAGGGACGCUAAUACCGCAUAACAUCCUGCUUUUGAACAGGUGGAGAUCAAAGCCGGGGAUCGCAAGACCUGGCGUUUGAAGAGGGGCCCGCGUCUGAUUAGCUAGUUGGUGAGGUAACGGCUCACCAAGGCGACGAUCA
rnacentral:rRNA from 1 species